UACGUAGGGUCCGAGCGUUGUCCGGAGUUAUUGGGCGUAAAGGGCUCGUAGGCGGUUUGUCACGUCGGGAGUGAAAACUCAGGGCUCAACCCUGAGCGUGCUUCCGAUACGGGCAGACUAGAGGUAUGCAGGGGAGAACGGAAUUCCUGGUGUAGCGGUGGAAUGCGCAGAUAUCAGGAGGAACACCGGUGGCGAAGGCGGUUCUCUGGGCAUUACCUGACGCUGAGGAGCGAAAGCAUGGGGAGCGAACAGG
rnacentral:rRNA from 1 species